rnacentral:rRNA from 1 species
GAUGAACGCUGGCGGCGUGCCUAAUACAUGCAAGUCGAGCGGACAGACGAGGAGCUUGCUCCUCUGACGUUAGCGGCGGGCGUGUGAGUAACACGUGGAUAACCUACCUUUAAGACUGGGAUAACUUCGGGAAACCGGAGCUCACACCGGAUAAUAUCUUGAACCGCAUUGUUCAUUGGUGAACGACGGUUUUGCUGUCACUUAUAGAUGGUUCCGCGCCGCAUUAGCUAGUUGGUAGGGUAACGGCUUACCAAGGCGACCAUGCGUAGCCGACCUGAGAGGGUGAUCGGCCACACUGGAACUGAGACACGGUCCAGACUCCUACGGGAGGCAGCAGUAGGGAAUCUUACGCAAUGGGCGAAAGCCUGACGGAGCAACGCCGCGUGAGUGAUGAAGGUCUUCGGAGCGUAAAACCCUGUUAUUAGGUAAGAACAAAUGUGUAAGGAAAUAUGCACGGCUUGACGGUACCUAAUCAGAAAGCCACGGCUAACUACGUG